ACUCCUGCGGGAGGCAGCAGUGGGGAAUAUUGGACAAUGGGCGCAAGCCUGAUCCAGCCAUGCCGCGUGAGUGAUGAAGGCCCUAGGGUUGUAAAGCUCUUUCACCGGUGAAGAUAAUGACGGUAACCGGAGAAGAAGUCCCGGCUAACUUCGUUCCAGCAGCCGCGGUAAUACGAAGGGGGCUAGCGUUGUUCGGAUUUACUGGGCGUAAAGCGCACGUAGGCGGACUAUUAAGUCAGGGGUGAAAUCCCGGGGCUCAACCCCGGAACUGCCUUUGAUACUGGUAGUCUUGAGUUCGAGAGAGGUGAGUGGAAUGCCGAGUGUAGAGGUGAAAUUCGUAGAUAUUCGGAGGAACACCAGUGGCGAAGGCGGCUCACUGGCUCGAUACUGACGCUGAGGUGCGAAAGCGUGGGGAGCAAACAGGAUUAGAAACCCUUGUAGUCCCA
rnacentral:rRNA from 1 species